GCAGAUGCAGGAUAAGACCAAUCUCUUGGUCAGAGCUUGGACAUUUGUGCUACUUGUUCUUCCUCCUCUUCAAUCCAGUUUUGGCACUACACUGGAAUUAAUUUGGUUGUGUAGGCAUGAAAACCAACAUUUCUGGGCUAUAAAGAUGAGCUCCUUUCCCCUUUUUCUUCUUUAAUCUGGUCCAACGAAACCUCAUCUCCACUGCACCAACCAUUGUUGCUAAAGCAAGUGUUCUCUUUCCUUCAGCGGCGGGCACCAUCUUUCCACGCAUGAAAUGCCUGGCAAAGACGGCGACGACGAUGCCUGUCAGCGACACCACUUGAGAGCCAGGUGUUGCGCCAUCCAAAGGCGUUAAAGUGGAUUCCAACUCCUCCCUCAACCAUGGAUUGAAGUGCUCCAGUGGUGACUGUCGUGUCCUUCCCUUUCAUGGCCCAGUAACCAGGGUUCUCCCAGCUCCAAAGGAAGGCUUCUGCAAUGUGUCAAGCGUCAGCCUCUCCUGCGGGGUUACCUGAGAUUAAAGGUGGAGCAGCUCUUGUUGACUGGAUCAACAAUGGCUGUUCUAAUCCUAGAAUAAGUGACUUGAGUUGCACAUCCUCUUGGUAUGCAGCCAUAGGUUCAACUCCUAAGCCAUGAUGUGGUAGUAUGUUUUGGAUCUUUGGAAAUUUGCAGUGUGAUUUGGUGUCUUAGGGGAAUGAUACAUUUCUCAGUUCAUGACAUAUAUAGUUAUGAUA